ACGCUGGCGGCGUGCCUAAUACAUGCAAGUCGAACGGUCUUUCUAUGGAAGCUUGCUUCCACUGAGAAGAUAGUGGCGAACGGGUGAGUAACACGUGGGUAACCUGCCCAUAAGAGGGGGAGUAACAUCCGGAAACGGGUGCUAAUACCGCAUAGUUUUCUUGAUCGCAUGAUCGGGAAAGGAAAGACGGCCUUUGUGCUGUCGCUUAUGGAUGGACCCGCGGCGUAUUAGUUAGUUGGUGAGGUAACGGCUCACCAAGACGAUGAUACGUAGCCGACCUGAGAGGGUGAUCGGCCACAUUGGGACUGAGACACGGCCCAAACUCCUACGGGAGGCAGCAGUAGGGAAUCUUCCGCAAUGGACGAAAGUCUGACGGAGCAACGCCGCGUGAGUGAAGAAGGUUUUUCCGGAUCGUAAAACUCUGUUGUCAGAGAAGAACAAGUUGGAGAGUAACUGCUCCAGCCUUGACGGUAUCUGACCAGAAAGCCACGGCUAACUACGUGCCAGCAGCGGC
rnacentral:rRNA from 1 species